CGGGGAAUGGCUCAGUUUGGUAGAGCGCUUGGUUCGGGACCAAGAGGCCGUCGGUUCAAAUCCGGUUUCCCCGA
rnacentral:tRNA from 1 species